UACAGAGGGGGCAAGCGUUGUUCGGAAUUACUGGGCGUAAAGGGCGCGUAGGCGGCCUGCUAAGUCGAACGUGAAAUCCCCGGGCUCAACCCGGGAACUGCGUCCGAUACUGGCAGGCUUGAAUUGGGGAGAGGGAUGCGGAAUUCCAGGUGUAGCGGUGAAAUGCGUAGAUAUCUGGAGGAACACCGGUGGCGAAGGCGGCAUCCUGGACCGAAAUUGACGCUGAGGCGCGAAAGCCAGGGGAGCAAACGGG
rnacentral:rRNA from 1 species